AGCAGUCGCCACGGGAAUACGAAGGGGGCUAGCGUUGUUCGGAUUUACUGGGCGUAAAGCGCACGUAGGCGGACUUUUAAGUCAGGGGUGAAAUCCCGGGGCUCAACCCCGGAACUGCCUUUGAUACUGGAAGUCUUGAGUAUGGUAGAGGUGAGUGGAAUUCCGAGUGUAGAGGUGAAAUUCGUAGAUAUUUGGAGGAACACCAGUGGCGAAGGCGGCUCACUGGACCAUUACUGACGCUGAGGUGCGAAAGCGUGGGGAGCAAACAGGAUUAGAUACCCCGGUAGUCCCUGUCUCUUAUAC
rnacentral:rRNA from 1 species